rnacentral:lncRNA from 1 species
CUCCUACCUUAACAUAGCAUUUUGUCCAUCACUUCUUGUACACGAAACCUGCCGGGUUUGAUAACCUAUCUCUAUUGCCCAAGACUUCGAAUGAUGAUGUGCUUUGUAACUUUGAUGUUUAAAGGUGACUCGCUCAUUUGAAUCAGAGUUAAAAUCCAGAACAGUUCUUCCGCUUGGAUUAAUUUCUUUAAGAUGAGGCAGUCUGCAUUUACUCCAUGGUCCAACCUUAAGGCUAAAUGUAUAUUCCUCUUCCCCAAGAGGACAGGAAAUGGGAGCAUCACAGGCUCUUGACUCAGUCAGAUUUGGACAUUGCAAACCACCAAAGAGAGGGGGAGCUAUGACCGCGCGAGUUCUAUGCUGCAAUUUCUUCCCA